UUAUCGAUGUUGCUGUUUGUCUUGGAAGUGCAGUUUUCCAUGAAAUAAAGCCUGUUUUUGUCAAGGGAGAGCUGGGAGCCCUUCCGACAAACUUUCUCUGGCCACAGUCAAUGUCGAAGCUUGAAAGAAAAGCACUCGGGACAGGAGCUGUUCUCAGAAGGUCACACAAACACUUCCAGCAUGUAGUGAUGGACCUGCACUGUCCUUCCAAGGGUGGGAGGAAUAUCUGGGCUCCAAGGAAUGAACGGAAGCAGCAGUAUUCUGGAAGAAAUAACAUUGAUUUAGCUAGAACGUAAGGAAGACAUCUUCUGUUUGAUGUAUGCAGCCUUCUGGACAAGGGUAGGACAAUAGCUUGUAUUCCCUGAACAAAAUACCUCCUACUGCGUUUUCACUACCAUUUACUGAGAAGAAUUUUAUUCCCUUGUAACAUUUAACUCUGAACCAUACGAAACUUCACGCUCAGCCAUGAGCCUGGAUGGAUGCUUAUGUAAGGAACUACCAAUAGGAUAAUUCUUCUGGGCUCUUAUGCCAUGUAUAACUGGGACAGGGAAGAGUUGUUGUCCCAUCCUGUAUGGAUAAUAAAUUAAUCCACGCCAGCCAAAGAAACAGGUACAAUUUACCUCCUUGGUAAAACAGAUACAGAAACUAAACCUCACAUAUUGCAUAACUUUACCAUGCAGAGCAACCUUUUUUUAAUGGUUUUUGCUACUGCACUUCACAACAUAGCAGUAUGCCAGUCAGGGUCAAUAAUGUUUAAUGAAGUAACUUAUUAGUCAAAGAAACAAACUUGCUAAUUUGGGCUUAUGUGUAAGUACAGAACAAGCCUCCACAUCUGUCUUCUUCACAAAUGCACAUUUGCCAUCCACCUUAAAAGCAGCUGAGUAUUCCUUGUGCUUCCUUCUAAAGGAAUGUUCCAGUUUUCAAAAGGCCACUUUUAUCUGCUAGUUUAGAUAUAAAACAACUCUUGUACUUCUGUUAUCUAGCCUGAAGGCAUACACAGCCAGUAAGCUUAUGCUUAAGCGCUUUAACUUUGAGAACAUGAAGCACCUUGUUGCUUUCAACUGGACCAACAUAUUUUUCACAUCAAGCACAUUUUAAGUGUUUUGCAAAACAGUAGGCUUCUCAACAGAGUAACUAGAUAUAUUGGUAUCUAUCUCCAUCCUCUCCUGAGGAACCAAUCACAGAUAUGGGUAGUCAGUACUUCAGCCAGAAUUAACGUAUUACUGGUUUCCAGCAGAGACCCUAAUACUCUAUAUCAACAGGGUUCUUCUAAACAAGAAAAAAAAUUAAGUUAGAAAAGCAGAAGCACAGCACGAACAACCUAUAAAAAUAGUGGAAAAAACUGAGAAGGGCUACUAAAGGCAAGAAUUAUUUUAAGUUAAUCUCCGGGAUGACAGGCAGUCAAUACACAAACAGGCAGGCACAAACCCAGUUACCACAGUAAAGAGGCUCUCCUCAUGACUGGCAGGGCUCAAGUAUUGGGCCUUAUGAGAAGAAAGAUUACUAAAGCAGUCAAAACUGAAAAGCUGCACAACUUGUAGAGGAAACUCAGCAAAUGAGCAACUGUAACAGAAGGAAUGUACGAAAUAUGUCUCCAGAUAUAAAGGACUGUACUUCUACAGCACAUUACUGAUGUUGCAGGCAAAGACAAACUGCUGUGGCAAAGGGUUUAAAACUCUGCCACAAGUGGUCACAUGUGGCCAGGGCUUACCUCGCUUGCUCAAAAGUGUUUAGUGCUUCCUACCGUGCAAUAGUCCUUCUGCUUCAAGCUUGCAAAAACACUUUCCUGAUGUACAGCUGCAGGAAGAAGUGUCUUGCAAUCUUCCUCUGGCCCUGAGAACAUACACAGGGUUAGUCUAACCUGGCCACAGUGUAACAGGAGGAAAAUUUCCAUAAACUGCAGGGGCUGAGCGAAAAGCACCUGAGUCAGACAGGAACUCACUCAGCUGCGCUGUGUACAACAGCCUUUGUGCAGAAGCAUUCAUUAGACACUAGUGUAGGUACAGUAAGACAGAAACACAGUGUGAUAUGAUGUGCUGUCACCAUUAAGGUAGGAUGUGACAGAUACAUUUGGAAAAUAUAAAAUAUGUUCACACAGCUUCAAAUUAAGUGGAUACAUGUGAAGCCAACCUGAAUGAACAGCCCUGCCUUCUUUGGAACAUGCUGACACCAACAGCAUUGAUCAGAUCACCUCCUAAUUAUAUCAAUUUACAAACAACACCCCAAUGUUGUAUUUGCAACAUCUUCAGCUUUGUUCAAAGCACAUUACAGUAAGGGAACAUUAAAAACAUAUUUAAACAUUAAACUAAAAUUACCGUUCUGCAGUUGAUCUGUGGUUAUACAGAACUCAUCUUUGCAGCUGCUGAAGUGCAACCAAAGGGAUUUGGCUGCAUUACCACUGUUAUGAGCAUAAAGCAGUCACAACCAAACCUGUGGGUAGUGACUAAUUGGCCCAGGGAACUCGAGCAUCAGCUUGCCUGGUUUCUGAGGAGUGAAUACGAUGACCAUCUCAGCUAUAAAAACACACAAAACUGUGUCAGAAACAAAAUUUGUAUUUGUCCUUGAUAUUCUGUUCUAUACAUUUUUAUAAGCACUUCACUUGUUUUGUCUUAAAACAGCUCCAAAACAGUUCAACUAUUUCCAUUCCCACUUCCCAGGACAAGUCUUCAAAUCUUAGGUACCCUCUGAAAGACUGGUGGUGUCUACCAGCAGAGGGGAGAUGGUUUCUUCAAAAAACCAUCUACCAUUUCAAGAGAAAAUAGUAACAGAUAUUAUUUAAACAAAUACCUUACUUGAUAUGUUAAUUUCAAUGGAUGUUAUUCUUUUUCUGCACCUUUAAUAUAAAUAUUUUAAGUAGGUAAAGUUUGACAUGGGACUAGAACUGGUUAUGCACCAAAACCCCUACACUGA